rnacentral:rRNA from 1 species
ACUCAAAUGAAUUGACGGGGACCCGCACAAGCAGCGGAGCGUGUGGUUUAAUUCGAGGCUACGCGAAGAACCUUACCAGGGAUUGACAUGACGGUAGUAGUGAAGCGAAAGCGGAACGACCCUUCGGGGAGCCGUCACAGGUGAUGCAUGGCUGUCGUCAGCUCGUGCCGUGAGGUGUUUGGUUAAGUCCACUAACGAGCGCAACCCUUAGCCCCAGUUAUACGUGUCUGGUGCGACUGCCGGUAUUAAGCCGGAGGAAGGUGGGGAUGACGUCAAGUCAGCAUGUCCUUUAUACCCUGGGCGACACACACGCUACAAUGGCCAGUACAAUGGGUUGCCAAGCCGCGAGGCGGAGCCAAUCCUAAAAAGCUGGUCUCAGUUCGGAUUGCAGGCUGCAACCCGCCUGCAUGAAGUCGGAGUUGCUAGUAACCGCAGGACAGCUAUACUGCGGUGAAUACGUUCCCGGGUCUUGUACACACCGCCCGU